CUUCUUCUUUGUGCCUUCUUGCAUUCAGCUGAGCCAAGAAGACAGCUUUUCCACUGAAGCUUAAACAGGCAUUCACGCUUCUUUAGAUCUGAAGUUAGCAGGUUAAGCUUGUCUGGUCUACAUUCCGGUGAAAAAAAAUUAAACAAUCUUAUUCUGUUAAUUCUCUUGGAAACAAAAAUUAAUAGUAAUAGCUAUUUGGGACCAGAUGAAAUCAGCUUUCAUUUAUAAUUCAUUUUGGGGGUAAUGGGAGAUUUAGAUAAUGUAUCCAGAUUUAAACUUACCAGUUUGAAC
rnacentral:lncRNA from 1 species